rnacentral:misc_RNA from 1 species
CCAACAUCAAAGCCAUUAAGGCCAUCAGUUACAUUGUUACUUGCAUGACUGUGGACGACAUCCAUCAGAACACAUAAACCCAAGCUAUGGGCUUUAUCAAUUAAAUAUUUAAGAUCCUCAGGAGUUCCAGAUCUACUGCUUACAGCAAAAAAGUUGGUAACAUGGUACCCAAACGAUCCAUAAUAUGAAUGCUCCAUAACAGCCAUUAACUGAACAGUGUUAUAGUUAUUUGCUCGUAUGCGAGGCAGCACAUCAUUAGCAAAUUCUCUGUACGUAUUAAUGCAGGGUUCUGAGCUACUCAUUCCUACAUGAGCCUCGUAUAUACGUGGGGCCUUGGGUUUUGGAGGCUGAGGAUACUUAAAUUGGUACCUUUCUGAAGGUGGAGGAUCCCAGUAAACACCGUCAUAUGGUGCUCCAAAACUUGAGGGGUCCACUAUGGCAUAUCUAAUCCAAGCUGGAAUUCGAUCAACCCAAACUCCAUUACCAUGCCUGAAUCGGAAUUUGACUCUUGAAUUGUGAGGAAUGGCUGGAUUUCCACCAGAAUCAGGUAUUUUGAUACUCCAAACACCAAAUUCAUUCUUUUCCAUCCUGUGGUUGGAACCAUCCCAUCCAUUGAAGUCCCCAAUAACUUGCGCUUGCUGAGCUGCAGGUGCCCACUCACGAUAGACAAUUCCACCUUCUUCUCUAUUAAAUCCGAAUUUCAGGUAACCUUUUGAAAAUUCCUGAAGACCUCCUUCAUANNNNUUAGCUGUUUCUGAUUUAUAUAUCUUUUCACUCUAUAUAUGAAGUGAUCUUUAAAUGGUUCCAGCCCAGGAUCAAUGCUCAAAAGCCCAAUAUUUUCCAUAUCUUCAUCAAAGCCUGUCAUUGUUGUGUUUUCAUCUGUCACAACUGCUGAGAUUGCAAGACCAUGCCUAGGUUUUGAGAUUCUUGGCCGGAAAUGGAAUUUAGGACAACCAAGCAAUUUUCGAGAUCCAAAAGUCAGUCCAAUCUGCUUUUGUUUGGCAAUGAGAUUGUUUCUUUCCACAUCCCUUUUGGAGUUCUUGGCUAUAGAAGGAGAUAAAAACCCAAAAGCAGGCGCCGGAAAUAGUCCCCAGGAACCUAACAUCUUGGCUCGCUGAGCCUCUGAAGGCCUACUUUCUCUCCCC